rnacentral:tRNA from 35 species
AAAAUCCGUCGAAUUUGAAAAUCGUGAGGGUUCAAGUCCCUCUAUCCCCA